UGGGUCUGAAGCAUUUCGACAUGCAGCUGCGUGGACAAGUCGGCCCCAGGAGCCAGUCCAGCUCCAGGUUCCCACCCAGCAAGGUAUCUCCCAUCACACAGUGAAGCAGCAGCUGAAGGUUGUCCUCACCCACUGCAGUGCCUCAGCUUACCAUAGGCUCCUUUGGCAUAGCAGGAAGAAAACCUGGCUUUAGAAGAGGCGUUCAGACAGGAAGCAGCAAUGUUCCAGGAGGAUUUCUGAGUGAAACGGGAGAGCAACUGGCUUCUCGAAGCGGAUAUUUCAGAGAUCCCUGAAUCAUGCUGCUGCACAGUUGGAGCAGUCAGGACCGAAGAACCAACACCCCGGGGUACCUGGACUUCCCCAGCACUUGCACACUGUGUUGGAGCUGAGCUGCACAAGCCUCUUUGGAGUGGAAGGAGAAAUCCCCAUGCUCUGGCUCAUGGGACAUCUCUGGGACCACAUGUACUUAGAUAACAGAAGAGCACAACUGGCUCAAGAACUCAAGAACGACAACGUGCUACAACGACGGCAGUGAG